GAGUUUGAUCCUGGCUCAGAGUGAACGCUGGCGGCAGGCCUAACACAUGCAAGUCGAGCGGCAGCGCGGGGCAACCUGGCGGCGAGCGGCGGACGGGUGAGGAAUGCAUCGGAAUCUACCCUGUCGUGGGGGAUAACGUAGGGAAACUUACGCUAAUACCGCAUACGACCGAGAGGUGAAAGUGGGGGACCGCAAGGCCUCACGCGAUUGGAUGAGCCGAUGCCGGAUUAGCUAGUGGUGGGGUAAAGGCCCACCAAGGCGACGAUCCGUAGCUGGUCUGAGAGGAUGAUCAGCCACACUGGGACUGAGACACGGCCCAGACUCCUACGGGAGGCAGCAGUGGGGAAUAUUGGACAAUGGGCGCAAGCCU
rnacentral:rRNA from 1 species